rnacentral:rRNA from 1 species
CCUACGGGAGUCAGCAGUGAGGAAUAUUGGUCAAUGGACGAGAGUCUGAACCAGCCAAGUAGCGUGAAGGAUGACUGCCCUAUGGGUUGUAAACUUCUUUUAUAUGGGAAUAAAACGUUCCACGUGUGGGAUUUUGUAUGUACCAUAUGAAUAAGGAUCGGCUAACUCCGUGCCAGCAGCCGCGGUAAUACGGAGGAUCCGAGCGUUAUCCGGAUUUAUUGGGUUUAAAGGGAGCGUAGGUGGAUUGUUAAGUCAGUUGUGAAAGUUUGCGGCUCAACCGUAAAAUUGCAGUUGAAACUGGCAGUCUUGAGUACAGUAGAGGUGGGCGGAAUUCGUGGUGUAGCGGUGAAAUGCUUAGAUAUCACGAAGAACUCCGAUUGCGAAGGCAGUUCACUGGACUGCAACUGACACUGAGGCUCGAAAGUGUGGGUAUCAAACAGGAUUAGAUACCCGUGUAGUC